GAUAGUUCAUUUUGGACUCAAUUGUCUUCUAUGCUCUAUUAGUUAUUAUAAGGUGUCUAACCUUUAGUAUCUUAAGAUGGAAAGUUAUGAACAUAACAUUUUUGGUAGUGAUUGUGGAUAGUAAUAAUGAAGUGUGGUCAGAUAUGCUAGAUUAGCGAUCAUUUAGUGCAAGGAUUGAUAUUUCAGUCCGGUUCUGGUAUUGGUCAGCAGCUGGAUUGAUUCAGUUUUGUCUGCACCGGGCCAAGUAAAACUAAUUAAAUUUACUUAUUAUAUUUUUUCACUUAUUGAUGAAUCAAAAUAUGUUUAAUGUAUAUAUCAAGAAAACAUGUGUAAAAAAACUUAUAAAAGUGCUACAGUGGGAAUAUAAUUGAAAUUUUCAAAUAGUUGUAAAUAAAUAGUCAAGUAAAAAGCAAAAAUAAUAUAUCUUAUGUAUUGUUAGUGGCCACUAUCACCAAAAAUGGGCACUGUGCUGAAGUGAGAUGUAGGUCGUGGUCCCAACGUCAGAUGGUAGUAGAUCCUCAGUAUAGGUUUAAAAUCCAUUCAUGACAUUGCUCUAUGAUAAUUGUUACUGAUUUAUCAUGCAUGAAACAAACUAGCAAGAUUUGUGACCUGUUGAUCAUUAAGUAUAGUUAGGUUCCUAGCUGCUCCCCAUGUUGGUAACUAUCCUGGCUUGGGGCAUGUAGGGUCAGGGAAGACCUAUAUUGGCUGUUGAGAGGUAAAAUUAUGACUAUCGUCACUAUAUUGACUCUGAGCCAUAUGAAGCAUUAGAUUCAGCAAAUUGAGAUUAAUUAUCAACAUCACAUUGUGGCGUAUGAACGAUGAUGUUUGCACCUGUACUACUCAGAUGCAAAUCCUCUGGGUAUGGCUGAACUAUGCAUAGCUAAUGAUAAAUACAUGACUAGCCCAUACUCAUGCAAGCAAAAAUUGGAGCAUGAAAAUAUAUGUGCAUAUACUCUGCCUGAUAUCCAUUUCUCAAUGAUAUGCACAUAUAGUACAUGCACAAUAGACAAAGAGAGUUCUUUUAACUGGAGUAUUUUCCCUAUUUUUAUUCCUGUUAGUUUACUUCUCUUUGCAGCAUGCCAAUGUUGCAUAGCUCAUUGGCUCUUGGUGAUUAAUUCAUCAUAUUGGGAACUAAUGCAUAUGUAAUACAUGUUCAAUAGGGAGAGAACAGUAUAAUCUGGGAACAAUGCCACAAUGCCAAUUUCUUUUAGUUUACAUCUCUGUGCAGAAUACUAAUGUUACAUACGGCUCUUGGUGAAUAAGUCAUCUUUCAGAAAGUAUAUUCAGUCAAAGAGGAUGAAGAACAUCUUGUUUCCAUUGAAUUGAUUGUUUGUUUGAUUUGAGACAUUGAUGUGAAAUUUGAUUACUCUUUAUGUUGAAUUGCUUAAGUUGUCAAUUUAAGGUCUAAUAUGCAUGUUAUGUUAAAAGUUUCUACCUUACAAGUGGUUUUGUAUCAAUAUGUUCAGUUUUCUGUUUACUUAGUGUGGGUUCUGCAGUAGUAUGUUCAGUUUCUACCUUACAAGUCAUUUUUGCCUAUAUAAUUUUUUCCUUUGUUCUUGUUUCUUAACAAUGGAUGUAGAUUCAUUUUGAUGAAGGAUUAUCAGCACGACAUAGAGCAGCAGGAGAGGCUACUAGAGUGGUUUCCAAGUCUGUUCGUGGAAAGAGUGCCUCUGAAAAACUAAGUGAAGAUGGGCUUGUAAAGUUCUCAGCCCGGGUAGCUAUCCAGGUGGGAUAAUAACAUUGUUGAACUAAAGCAGCUUCUUAUAUUCUAAUAACUAGAGGACAUGCAUCCCAACAUGUUUUGUUUCUGUACCAAAUUAAACUUCUAAUUUUCUAUCAUGCAUAUUCAAUAGCAGAUCUUUUUUUGCAACUACAUAAAAAUACUUGCACAAAAUCAUAAGCUUACACACUAAUAUGCUUGUCAAUGCUCACAUUGGUCCUUCAUAUGAAUUGCCUACACAAAUAUUUAAAUGUAUAUAGGAAUAUGAAUAGAAUUAUUGAUUAAAAGUAGAUUAAAUUACAAUUGUUUUGGCAUUUCAUCAGAUUGGCUUGUCUUGUAUGCUAAGAUGAACCUUGGCACCAUCAGAAGGUUGCUUGUUGCGACCUGGAUGGAUAGGGUUCAAAUCAUAGAAUUAAUGUCUUUGCCUGUAGAGGUAAGACUAGAUACACUAAUUCGCAUGAGAUCCUGCAUUAGCAAGAACCUUGUGCAUUGGGUGGGCUUGAGUUUUGUAUGCCCUAGUUGCCUAUACUAGAACAUGGUUUUUCCGUUUUGUAUGCCAUUUGUGUCCUAUAUUGCAUGGCUCACUAACUUUACAGAGCAUCUUGUUCAUUGUUAUUUUUUCAAGCAAUGGAUUGGUUUCCUGCAAAACCAGAGUGUUGUCUAUGUUGGUACCAAUUGGGAAACUGAGGGUCCAAAAUAAGAAAAAAUAUGGAAGUAGUGGUCUUUUCUGCAUCUGUAACUGAUGGACCUGGUAACCUAUACUGAAAUCUUUGUCAGGUAGCCCAGAGGUUUCUACUUAACUCUUGUCUUUUAGUUGUUUUUUUUUUCGUUUUUUGAUGUAGCAUAACCACAGUGCUCUUAUCUCCAUACCACCUACCGAGUUACCAACUAUUUGUCAAGUGGAGGAACAAGAGGAGGUUGUCGUGGUUGAU
rnacentral:lncRNA from 1 species